ACGUUAGCGGCGGACGGGUGAGUAACACGUGGGUAACCUACCUAUAAGACUGGGAUAACUUCGGGAAACCGGAGCUAAUACCGGAUAAUAUUUCGAACCGCAUGGUUCGAUAGUGAAAGAUGGUUUUGCUAUCACUUAUAGAUGGACCCGCGCCGUAUUAGCUAGUUGGUAAGGUAACGGCUUACCAAGGCGACGAUACGUAGCCGACCUGAGAGGGUGAUCGGCCACACUGGAACUGAGACACGGUCCAGACUCCUACGGGAGCAGCAGUG
rnacentral:rRNA from 1 species